rnacentral:rRNA from 1 species
AUUGAACGCUGGCGGCAGGCUUAACACAUGCAAGUCGAGCGAGCGGCGGACGGGUGAGUAAUGUCUGGGAAACUGCCUGAUGGAGGGGGAUAACUACUGGAAACGGUAGCUAAUACCGCAUACCCACGGGUGUGCCCAGAUGGGAUUAGCUAGUAGGUGGGGUAAAGUCUCACCUAGGCGACGAUCCCUAGCUGGUCUGAGAGGAUGACCAGCCACACUGGAACUGAGACACGGUCCAGACUCCUACGGGAGGCAGCAGUGGGGAAUAUUGCACAAUGGGCGAAAGCCUGAUGCAGCCAUGCCGCGUGUAUGAAGAAGGCCUUCGGGUUGUAAAGUACUUUCAGUGGGGAGGCGUUACCCGCAGAAAAAGCACCGGCUAACUACGUGCCAGCAGCCGCGGUAAUUC